AUGGCGCGUGCCAGCAGCGACGCACGGGCGGCUCUGUGCCUGGUGGCUCUUCUGGCCAUGUCGUCUCUCAUGUCUUGUCAGGCGGCCGGAAGAAACAUAGGUACAACUGGCGCCGAUCCGACGACGAACUGCAUACAUGCUUUAGGCUGUGCGCCCCCGCCGCCGGGCAAGCCUGACAUCGACAUCUUCUGCAGGGCUUACUGCUACCAGCGAGGCUACAACCUAUUGAAAAGUUAUUGCAAGCCAGACGGCGGCGGCACAUGCUGCUGCGUGAAGGCGUGA
rnacentral:rRNA from 1 species